GACGAACGCUGGCGGCGUGCCUAAUACAUGCGAGUUGAGCGCUGAAGGUUGGUACUUGUACCGACUGGAUGAGCAGCGAACGGGUGAGUAACGCGUGGGGAAUCUGCCUUUGAGCGGGGGACGACAUUUGGAAACGAAUGCUAAUACCGCAUAAAAACUUUAAACACAAGUUUUAAGUUUGAAAGAUGCAAUUGCAUCACUCAAAGAUGAUCCCGCGUUGUAUUAGCUAGUUGGUGAGGUAAAGGCUCACCAAGGCGAUGAUACAUAGCCGACCUGAGAGGGUGAUCGGCCACAUUGGGACUGAGACACGGCCCAAACUCCUACGGGAGGCAGCAGUAGGGAAUCUUCGGCAAUGGACGAAAGUCUGACCGAGCAACGCCGCGUGAGUGAAGAAGGGUUUCGGAUCGUAAAACUCUGUUGGUAGAGAAGAACGUUGGUGAGAGUGGAAAGCUCAUCAAGUGACGGUAACUACCCAGAAAGGGACGGCUAACUACGUG
rnacentral:rRNA from 1 species